rnacentral:rRNA from 1 species
AUUGAACGCUGGCGGCAGGCUUAACACAUGCAAGUCGAGCGGGGGAAGGUAGCUUGCUACUGGACCUAGCGGCGGACGGGUGAGUAAUGCUUAGGAAUCUGCCUAUUAGUGGGGGACAACAUCUCGAAAGGGAUGCUAAUACCGCAUACGUCCUACGGGAGAAAGCAGGGGAUCUUCGGACCUUGCGCUAAUAGAUGAGCCUAAGUCGGAUUAGCUAGUUGGUGGGGUAAAGACCUACCAAGGCGACGAUCUGUAGCGGGUCUGAGAGGAUGAUCCGCCACACUGGGACUGAGACACGGCCCGGACUCCUACGGGAGGCAGCAGUGGGGAAUAUUGGACAAUGGGGGGAACCCUGAUCCAGCCAUGCCGCGUGUGUGAAGAAGGCCUUAUGGUUGUAAAGCACUUUAAGCGAGGAGGAGGCUACUUUAGUUAAUACCUAGAGAUAGUGGACGUUACUCGCAGAAUAAGCACCGGCUAACUCUGUGCCAGCCGCCGCCGUAA